ACGAACGCUGGCGGCGUGCCUAAUACAUGCAAGUCGAACGCUUCUUUUUCCACCGGAGCUUGCUCCACCGGAAAAAGAGGAGUGGCGAACGGGUGAGUAACACGUGGGUAACCUGCCCAUCAGAAGGGGAUAACACUUGGAAACAGGUGCUAAUACCGUAUAACAAUCGAAACCGCAUGGUUUUGAUUUGAAAGGCGCUUUCGGGUGUCGCUGAUGGAUGGACCCGCGGUGCAUUAGCUAGUUGGUGAGGUAACGGCUCACCAAGGCGACGAUGCAUAGCCGACCUGAGAGGGUGAUCGGCCACAUUGGGACUGAGACACGGCCCAAACUCCUACGGGAGGCAGCAGUAGGGAAUCUUCGGCAAUGGACGAAAGUCUGACCGAGCAACGCCGCGUGAGUGAAGAAGGUUUUCGGAUCGUAAAACUCUGUUGUUAGAGAAGAACAAGGAUGAGAGUAACUGUUCAUCCCUUGACGGUAUCUAACCAGAAAGCAACGGCUAACUACGUGCCAGCAGCCGCGGUAAUACGUAGGUGGCAAGCGUUGUCCGGAUUUAUUGGGCGUAAAGCGAGCGCAGGCGGUUUCUUAAGUCUGAUGUGAAAGCCCCCGGCUCAACCGGGGAGGGUCAUUGGAAACUGGGAGACUUGAGUGCAGAAGAGGAGAGUGGAAUUCCAUGUGUAGCGGUGAAAUGCGUAGAUAUAUGGAGGAACACCAGUGGCGAAGGCGGCUCUCUGGUCUGUAACUGACGCUGAGGCUCGAAAGCGUGGGGAGCAAACAGGAUUAGAUACCCUGGUAGUCCACGCCGUAAACGAUGAGUGCUAAGUGUUGGAGGGUUUCCGCCCUUCAGUGCUGCAGCUAACGCAUUAAGCACUCCGCCUGGGGAGUACGACCGCAAGGUUGAAACUCAAAGGAAUUGACGGGGGCCCGCACAAGCGGUGGAGCAUGUGGUUUAAUUCGAAGCAACGCGAAGAACCUUACCAGGUCUUGACAUCCUUUGACCACUCUAGAGAUAGAGCUUCCCCUUCGGGGGCAAAGUGACAGGUGGUGCAUGGUUGUCGUCAGCUCGUGUCGUGAGAUGUUGGGUUAAGUCCCGCAACGAGCGCAACCCUUAUUGUUAGUUGCCAUCAUUUAGUUGGGCACUCUAGCAAGACUGCCGGUGACAAACCGGAGGAAGGUGGGGAUGACGUCAAAUCAUCAUGCCCCUUAUGACCUGGGCUACACACGUGCUACAAUGGGAAGUACAACGAGUCGCAAAGUCGCGAGGCUAAGCUAAUCUCUUAAAGCUUCUCUCAGUUCGGAUUGUAGGCUGCAACUCGCCUACAUGAAGCCGGAAUCGCUAGUAAUCGCGGAUCAGCACGCCGCGGUGAAUACGUUCCCGGGCCUUGUACACACCGCCCGUCACACCACGAGAGUUUGUAACACCCGAAGUCGGUGAGGUAACCUUUUGGAGCCAGCCGCCUAAGGUGGGAUAGAUGAUUGGGGUG
rnacentral:rRNA from 1 species